rnacentral:rRNA from 1 species
AUUGAACGCUGGCGGCAGGCUUAACACAUGCAAGUCGAGCGGAGCGGCGGCCGGGUGAGUAAUGCUUAGGUAUCUGCCUCUUAGUGGGGGACAACAACUCGAACUGGAUGCUAAUACCGCAUACUUAUAGAUGAGCCUAAGUCGGUGUAGCUUGUUGGUGGGGUAAAGGCCUACCAAGGCGACGAUCUGUAGCGGGUCUGGGAGGAUGAUCCGCCACACUGGGACUGAGAAACGGGCCAGAAUCCUACGGGGAGCAGCAAUGGGGAAUAUUGGACAAUGGGGGGAACCCUGAUCCAGCCAUGCCGCGUGUGAGAAGAAGGCCUUAUGGUUGGAAAGCACUUUAAGCGAGGAGGCGUUACUCGCAGAAUAAGCACCGGCUAACUCUGUGCCAGCAGCCGCGGUAAUAC